ensembl:lncRNA
GGCUUUGCAACAUUCAGGUACUGAGCGGAGCCAUAUGUUCUGUGGGUCUGUGUCAUUUAACCACACCUGCAUCAGCUGAGCCAUUCUCAUUCCCAUCAGUCUUGAGUCAUUUUACCCAGGUAAUUGCUGUGUCUUCCUGGUUCCAACCAGAAGAAUUCUCUCUGUACGGAGGCUGUCCGUGCUGUCCAUGUGGUUGGCUGCUCCCUGGUACAAUGACAUCAUUCUCUUGCUUGAUACUGCAUGGAUACAUAGGCUCUCCAUGAGAGCACUAAGUCCCUUGUUCCAGAUUUGUCACCGCCCUGCUAUAUAAGUACUGUUUGUUCUUUGUAUGUGAGGUUGAGAACCGUGGGAUCUUGCCAAUUUUCAGAGUUCUACUGGGCAUGGGGCACAGAUCCUCUACUCUCAGUCUCCCAAACGUCUAUCCAGAAGUUUUUGUCAUUUCUGCCCCCUCCUCUUUCUGACUUAGUGUAUUAGUCCAUUUGCACUGCUAUAAAGGAAUACUGAAGACUGGGUAAUUUAUAAGAAGAGGUUUAUUUUGGCUCAUGGUUCUGCACACUGUGCAAGCAUGUCACCAACAUCUGCUUGGCUUCUGGUGAGGGUCUCAGGAAGCUUCCACUCAUGGUGGAAGUCAAUGGGGGACCUGCAGUAUCACAUUGUGAAAGAGGGAGUGAGAGAACGAGGGAGGAGGUGCCAGGCUCCUUUAAACAAACAGCUCUCCUGUGAACUCACAGAAUGAUAAAUCAUUCAUUACUCUGAGGACAGCACCAAGACCUUCCUAAGGGAUCAGCCUUCCUAACCCAAACACCCCCUCCCACUAGGCCCACCUCUAACAUUGGGGAUCACAUUUCAAAGUGAGAUUUGGAGGGGACAAUCAUGUAACCAUAUUACUUAGCCAAAGAAUGGAAAGACUAGGCCUACCUAGAAUAUCCUCUCAAGAACACGACUGGCAUCUAAUUGUUGUAUCCUCUUUCUCUUGUUUUGUCUUCUCUUUCAGUUCUUGAAUUCUUUAGUUAGCUCAGCUGAGAGUAGAGGGUUAGGAUUUGGAAGAUGGAACAGCAUGAACAGAGAUGCUGAAGUGAGUUCGUGAAGGAUGGAUAUGAGAGUGAGUGGAAACUUGUGGUUAUGCUGGGAAGUGUGACUGGAGGUCAAGGGGUGACCUGGAUCUGUUUGUAGAGUUAUGGGGCUGGGAGUAAGUUGAGGAGAUCACCAGUAGUCUUAAGUUUUCAAAGUAUAGAAUUUUUUCUUUAAGGUAAUGAGAAACCUUUGGAAAUUAUUGAGUAGAAAGUGAUAUAAUCCAAGAAAUGGUGUAGAUUUUUGAUACUUUAUGGAGUUAUUUGGUAGGGGAUCACAUUUCAACAUGAGAUUUGGAGGGGACAACUCAAAUAUGAUUCCGAGAACCUAACCUGAGCUAUGGUGAGUUACGCAGGAGGAAGGGGAGUUCUGUUUUGGACAUAUGAUGUUGCAGAGGCAAUUUUGAGAUGUAAAGAGAGGUAAAGCCUAGGGAUGUACUGAUGAAAAUAAUCAAUUGAUUGUAGCUCAAACUGUGGAAAUAGAAGAGA